rnacentral:rRNA from 1 species
AGCAAGAGCCCGGAGAUGGAUUCUGAGACACGAAUCCAGGCCCUACGGGGCGCAGCAGGCGCGAAAACUUUACAAUGCGAGAAAUCGUGAUAAGGGAACCCCGAGUGCCCGUAAAUUCGGGCUGUCCAUCAGUGUAAAUAACUGGUGAAGAAAGGGCCGGGCAAGACCGGUGCCAGCCGCCGCGGUAAUACCGGCGGCUCGAGUGGUGGCACUAUUACUGGGCUUAAGGCGUCCGUAGCUUGGUUGUUAAGUCUCCUGGGAAAUCCAUCGGCUCAACCGAUGGGCGUUCAGGGGAUACUGGCAACCUAGGGACCGGGAGAGGUGAGAGGUACUCCAGGGGUAGGAGUGAAAUCCUGUAAUCCUUGGGGGACCACCUGUGGCGAAGGCGUCUCACUAGAACGGCUCCGACAGUGAGGGACGAAAGCUGGGGGAGCAAACCGGAUUAGAUACCCGGGUAGUCCCAGCCGUAAACGAUGCGCGUUAGGUGUAUCGGUGACCACGAGUCACCGAGGUGCCGAAGGGAAACCGUGAAACGUGCCGCCUGGGAAGUACGGUCGCAAGGCUGAAACU